rnacentral:rRNA from 1 species
CCUACGGGAGGCAGCAGUGAGGAAUAUUGGUCAAUGGGCGCGAGCCUGAACCAGCCAAGUAGCGUGAAGGAUGACUGCCCUACGGGUUGUAAACUUCUUUUAUAAGGGAAUAAAGUGCGGCACGUGUGCCUUUUUGUAUGUACUUUAUGAAUAAGGAUCGGCUAACUCCGGUCCAGCAGCCGCGGUAAUACGGAGGAUCCGAGCGUUAUCCGGGUUUAAUGGGUUUAAAGGGAGCGUAGAUGGGUUGUUAAGUCAGUUGUGAAAGUUUGCGGCUCAACCGUAAAAUUGCCAUUGAUACUGGCAGUCUUGAGUACAGGUGAGGUAGGCGGAAUUCGUGGUGUAGCGGUGAAAUGCUUAGAUAUCACGAAGAACUCCGAUUGCGAAGGCAGCUUACUAACCUGCCACUGACAUUGAUGCUCGAAAGUGUGGGUAUCAAACAGGAUUAGAUACCCGUGUAGUC